GACGGAGGGAGCAAGCGUUGUCCGGAUUUACUGGGCGUAAAGCGCGCGUAGGCGGCUUGUUAAGUCGGCUGUGAAAUCGCUGGGCUCAACCCAGCAAUUGCAGUCGAUACUGGCAGGCUCGAGUCCGGGAGAGGGAAGCGGAAUUCCUGGUGUAGCGGUGGAAUGCGUAGAUAUCAGGAAGAACACCGGUGGCGAAGGCGGCUUCCUGGACCGGUACUGACGCUGAGGCGCGAAAGCUAGGGGAGCGAACGGG
rnacentral:rRNA from 1 species